rnacentral:lncRNA from 1 species
CACAAUAAGCUCUUUAGCAGUUCUGUUUCAACUUGAGACCUAUUCAUUAAUUUAUCUUUUCAAACUCCAUGCUUUCUCAUGUUACUAAGAAGUCCUCCUAUAGUUUAAGAGACAAUUGCUCGUUUGUCCCUUUAUGAAUACUAACAACUGAAAUGACCAUAUUUAUUUGGCUUGCUUAUUUGAUCCUGUUUUUAAAAAACCAAACGGUUGUCUGCCCAUCUUCCC